CGCUUGCUUCCAAUCACGGCUUUCCUCUUUCUAUUCCCUGCGUCCUCCUACUCUUCAUUUCUUUAUGGGCAGCCGUAGUCUCAGUCCGCUGCAGCUGUCAGUGGGGCAACCAUGGCUACGAUCCCAUGACUGAUUUUCUCCUGCGACACCACAUCCAGCAGCCAAUCUACUCCUAUGAGCAGUUAUGUGCCUCCACCAACAGCUUCGACCCCCGCCGCAAGAUUGGCGACGAUGGGUUUGGAUUUGCUUACCUCGCCCCCCUCAACGAUAGUGUCACUGCCUUGAAGAGGCUUCACUGCCACCACCCUGCCGCUGUGACGACAAAGUCCUUCUGCAACGAGAUCCUCAUCCUCUCCUCUCUGCGCCACCCCAACCUUGUACGCCUCCAUGGCUAUUGCUGCGGUCUUCUCCUGGUCUACGACUACGUUCCUAAUGGGACCAUGGCAACCACCUUCACUGCUCCUGAAGCCCCUACAGCAAGCCUUGCACACUGCUAUGGGCUGUCGAUCAAGAAGCUUAUCCUGGCUAGCGAUCUUUCCCUAUUGCUGCUAUCGAUGUUUAUUUCGGGGAAGAUCGAAGAUCAUAAGGGGCUAUUGAAGGCAGUACUCCAGAGAAAGUGAACAAGCAAAUAGAGAAAUCCCUCCAACUUCCAGUGCCCUCAAAGAAGAAUAAAUCAAUAUUUAGCAAAGACUACUUGGCAAAAAGUUUAGACUAGGAUAGAGAUUUCCUUACAAGGUGUUUUGGAUUAUGAAGAAUUGGCUAGCCUAAAUAGCACAUUCAGGAGGAUUGAUACAUGUUCACUGCCUACAAUCCAUGAGGAGUCAAAAAGAUUAAUUGUGGCAAACUCAACUUUAAGCUAUGAUGAUAACUUGUUUUACACUUGUUUGAAAACAAAGGUGCUUCAAUGAAGACUUUCGAUACUGGUGUAAAGUCUUCUGGAUCGGAAAAGUCCAGCAAGAGGAACAUUCCAAGAAGGGGUCGCACAUUGUCCCUUGAGUUGCCAACUAAAUUUGAAGCUUCUCAGAAUUAUAAGGUAUGGUUUUUGAACAAUCACUACUUUUAUACGCCAACAUCACCAAACUUCUUCACUCCUAAUUAUCAAAUUAGGGGGGACACUAUUUUAUGCCAUUGAGCUAAAUAUGUGUCAAACAUUGUCAAUGUGUGCUACAUCAGAAGUCUCUUGUAGUACCAGAACAACACGGCGCUAGAAAUCAUAGACUUCUUAUCCUGGCUAUCAUCUUUCUUGCAACUAAAUCAGAAGCUUAAAGUGCUCUCAUAGGUGAAUAUGUUGCAAAAGCAGAUCCUUAAAAAGAAAAGGUACCGAAAGAGAACGAGAAGGUAGAGAUGUUGAAGGAAGAGAAUAAUGAAAAACUUUUAGAUAAGAUGAAGGCUAAGAUAGAAGUCUUGAGCAUGACAAGAACACCUGUGACCAGUGGAACAUUGUUGGAUGUAUAUUAGAUUGAAGUAGUAUUGGAACACUAUUGACAGGAAAUCAUUGAUGGUUAGUGAUUCAUGAUUUAUGCAAUUAAUUUAGAGAAAUUUAUGAACUUUGUAAAAUGAUUAUUAG